CUUCACGAGACGCCGUCGACAAGCUCCGACUGGACGGUGCGCCAACCCUUCGCUCGUGGGUGGCUCGGAUGACGAAGCGGCCGAACGUCAACCGGCGCUUGGCAAGAGCGCCUC
rnacentral:ncRNA from 2 species